rnacentral:rRNA from 1 species
UACGAAGGGUGCAAACGUUGCUCGGAAUUAUUGGGCGUAAAGCGCACGUAGGCGGCUUGGCAAGUCGGAUGUGAAAUCCCUCGGCUCAACCAAGGAAGUGCAUCCGAAACUGCUGAGCUUGAGUACGAAAAGAGGAUCGCGGAAUUCCCGGUGUAGAGGUGAAAUUCGUAGAUAUCGGGAGGAACACCGAUGGCGAAGGCAGGUCUCUGGGCCACUACUGACGCUGAGAAGCGAAAGCAUGGGGAGCGAACAGG